rfam:Desulfobacteraceae bacterium IS3 Ga0073107_10588, whole genome shotgun sequence.
CCCGGAAAUGAAUUUCCGGGCUAUUAUGUGUCGUCCCUACAGGACU